AUUGAACGCUGGCGGCAGGCUUAACACAUGCAAGUCGAGCGAGCGGCGGACGGGUGAGUAAUGUCUGGGAAACUGCCUGAUGGAGGGGGAUAACUACGGGAAACUGUAGCUAAUACCGCAUACCAUCGGAUGUGCCCAGAUGGGAUUAGGUAGUGGGUGGGGUAAUGGCUCCCCAAGGCGACGAUCCCUAGCUGGUCUGAGAGGAUGACCCGCCAACCUGGAACUGAGACACGGUCCAGACUCCCACGGGAGGGAGCCGUGGGGAAUAUUGCAGAAAGUGCGCAAGCCUGAAGGAGCCAUGCCGGGGUGGAGAAGAAGGGCUUCGGGUUGUAAAGGAUUUUUAGCGAGCAGGAGGUACUCGCAGAAGAAGCACCGGCUAACUCCGUGCCAGCCGCCGCGGUAAUAC
rnacentral:rRNA from 1 species